AGCAUAUCAAUAAGCGGAGGAAAAGAAACCAACAGGGAUUGCCUCAGUAACGGCGAGUGAAGCGGCAGCAGCUCAAAUUUGAAAUCUGGCUCUUUCAGAGUCCGAGUUGUAAUUUGUAGAGGAUGCUUCGGCGUAGGCCCCGCCCAAAGUUCCUUGGAACGGGACGUCAUAGAGGGUGAGAACCCCGUGUCUAGGCGGACGUCUUUGCCAUGUGAAGCUCCUUCGACGAGUCGAGUUGUUUGGGAAUGCAGCUCAAAAUGGGAGGUAAAUUUCUUCCAAAGCUAAAUACCGGCCGGAGACCGAUAGUGCACAAGUAGAGUGAUCGAAAGAUGAAAAGCACUUUGGAAAGAGAGUCAAACAGCGCGUGAAAUUGUUAAAAGGGAAGCGCUUGCGGCCAGACUUGGCCGCGGUUGUUCGGCGGGGCUUCUGCCCCGUUUACUCUUCCGCGGCCGGGCCAGCAUCGACUUGGGCGGCUGGAUAAAGAUCGCGGGAACGUGGCUCCCUCCGGGGAGUGUUAUAGCCCGUGGUGUAAUGCAGCCUGCCUGGGUCGAGGUCUGCGCAUCUGCUAGGAUGCUGGCGUAAUGGCCCCAAGCGGCCCGUCUUGAAACACGGACCAAGGAGUCUAACAUUCGUGCGAGUGUUCGGGCGUGAAAACCCGUGCGCGUAAUGAAAGUGAACGGAGGUGGGAACCCUCACGGGUGCACCAUCGACCGAUCCUGAUGUCUUCGGAUGGAUUUGAGUAUGAGCACGUAUGUUGGGACCCGAAAGAUGGUGAACUAUGCCUAAGCAGGGCGAAGCCAGAGGAAACUCUGGUGGAGGCUCGCAGCGGUUCUGACGUGCAAAUCGAUCGUCAAAUUUGGGUAUAGGGGCGAAAGACUAAUCGAACCAUCUAGUAGCUGGUUCCUGCGA
rnacentral:rRNA from 1 species